rnacentral:rRNA from 1 species
CCUACGGGCGGCAGCAGUGAGGAAUAUUGGUCAAUGGGCGAGAGCCUGAACCAGCCAAGUCGCGUGAGGGAGUACUGCCCUAUGGGUUGUAAACCUCUUUUGUCGGGGAGCAAAAGCCGGAAGUGUCCGGCUGUGGGAGUACCCGAAGAAAAAACAUUGGCUAACUUCGUGCCAGCAGCCGCGGUAAUACGGAGGAUGCGGGCGUUAUCCGGGUUUAUUGGGUUUAAAGGGGGCGCAGGCGGAAUUUUAAGUCAGCGGUAAAAUUGUGGGGCUCAACCCCAUCCAGCCGUUGAAACUGGGGAUCUAGAGUGUGCGAGAGGUAGGCGGAAUGCGUGGUGUAGCGGUGAAAUGCAUAGAUAUCACGCAGAACCCCGAUUGCGAAGGCAGCAUACCGGUGCACAACUGACGCUCAGGCACGAAAGCGUGGGUAUCGAACAGGAUUAGAUACCCUAGUAGUC